rnacentral:rRNA from 1 species
UGGGGAAUUUUGGACAAUGGGCGCAAGCCUGAUCCAGCCAUGCCGCGUGCGGGAAGAAGGCCUUCGGGUUGUAAACCGCUUUUGUCAGGGAAGAAACGCUCUGGGCUAAUACCCUGGGGUAAUGACGGUACCUGAAGAAUAAGCACCGGCUAACUACGUGCCAGCAGCCGCGGUAAUACGUAGGGUGCAAGCGUUAAUCGGAAUUACUGGGCGUAAAGCGUGCGCAGGCGGUUAUGCAAGACAGAUGUGAAAUCCCCGGGCUCAACCUGGGAACUGCAUUUGUGACUGUAUAGCUAGAGUACGGUAGAGGGGGAUGGAAUUCCGCGUGUAGCAGUGAAAUGCGUAGAUAUGCGGAGGAACAUCGAUGGCGAAGGCAAUCCCCUGGACCUGUACUGACGCUCAUGCACGAAAGCGUGGGGAGCAAACAGGAUUAGAUACCCUGGUAGUCCCUGAGCGGGCUGGCAAGGCGCAU